GCGGGCCCGCCGCUUGUCGGCCGCCGGGGGGGCGCCUUUGCCCCCCGGGCCCGUGCCCGCCGGAGACCCCAACACGAACACUGUCUGAAAGCGUGCAGUCUGAGUUGAUUGAAUGCAAUCAGUUAAAACUUUCAACAAUGGAUCUCUUGGUUCCGGCAUCGAUGAAGA
rnacentral:misc_RNA from 1 species